GGGAAUGAGGGCCAUAUGGCUGCACCAUCUGUCACCCCACAGAUCUUCAGAGUUGAUUCAGCUGAUCUAGAUGGCUAAGCAGGUAUCCCCUUCCUCCCUCAUUGCUCCAUGUACAUGAAGAGAAGACUGUUCUUUGGCCAAAGACAUAGGAGAAACUGUACUCCCCUCCUAGAAUUUCCAAACAAGCUCUCAAGGCUGCCCAAGGACACUCCACUGAGUCACUAAGGAGUAUCUCAAAAGCUGAAGGGAGGUCUCAGAGAAGAGAUUGGCCCUGAGCUACCUUCAGCA
ensembl:misc_RNA 7SK 7SK RNA